UGGGGAAUAUUGCACAAUGGGCGCAAGCCUGAUGCAGCCAUGCCGCGUGUAUGAAGAAGGCCUUCGGGUUGUAAAGUACUUUCAGCGGGGAGGAAGGUGUUGAGGUUAAUAACCUCAGCAAUUGACGUUACCCGCAGAAGAAGCACCGGCUAACUCCGUGCCAGCAGCCGCGGUAAUACGGAGGGAGCAAGCGUUACUCGGAAUUACUGGGCGUAAAGCGCACGCAGGCGGUCUGUCAAGUCGGAUGUGAAAUCCCCGGGCUCAACCUGGGAACUGCAUUCGAAACUGGCAGGCUAGAGUCUUGUAGAGGGGGGUAGAAUUCCAGGUGUAGCGGUGAAAUGCGUAGAGAUCUGGAGGAAUACCGGUGGCGAAGGCGGCCCCCUGGACAAAGACUGACGCUCAGGUGCGAAAGCGUGGGGAGCAAACA
rnacentral:rRNA from 1 species